rnacentral:misc_RNA from 1 species
GGAAGACGAUGGGGAACCUGGAUUUCUUUUGGCUAAUCAACUUAUUGGAAGGGCAUUGGGAAUUCCAGGGGCAUCUAUUCAUUGGUAUGACAAGCCAGAGAUGCGAAGGCAACGGAAGAUGGGACACAUCACAAUAGUUGGCUCUUCUAUGGGUGUUGUGGAAGCGCAGCUAAAAGUGAUGCUGAAUGAAGACAGUGUUAAUGACCAGCCUGCAGUUGCACCACGUGUUGGAAUCAUAAUGGGGUCUGAUUCAGAUCUUCCUGUUAUGAAGGAUGCUGCUAAGAUUUUAAAAGAGUUUGAUGUGCAUGCUGAAGUAAAAAUUGUUUCAGCCCACCGUACACCUGAGAUGAUGUUUUCUUAUGCAUUGUCUGCGCGAGAACGUGGUAUCCAAGUAAUAAUUGCCGGGGCUGGUGGUGCCGCCCACUUACCUGGAAUGGUUGCUGCAUUGACUCCACUACCUGUUAUUGGUGUUCCAGUACGGGCUUCCACAUUAGAUGGACUUGAUUCCCUAUUAUCCAUUGUUCAGAUGCCAAGAGGAGUCCCAGUUGCAACCGUUGCAAUCAACAAUGCCACAAAUGCUGGUCUGCUGGCAGUAAGAUUGUUAGGAAUCAGCGACGUUAACUUGCAAGCUAGGAUGGCCCAAUAUCAAGAGGACAGAAGAGAUGAGGUUUUGGUAAAAGGGGAAAGACUAGAACAAGUUGGCUAUGAAGAGUAUCUCAACUCUUAAAACCAUUUCAGCACCAGCUGUUUCUAACAUUCACUAAAGUGUAGUAGCACAGUGUCACCUGCAUUGUACAAUAGUCAAACAUAUUAGAUAGCAUGAGCUGCUCAAGCACCGGUUAACAGCAAGUUAUAUUGGCGCUGUUUCGGGAGCAAAUUUAUCGCGAGGCAGAUGAAAGGAAAUACCAUUGAAACAAGAUUACUGUGAACAAGCUUUCUACAUGGAAUUUAGUUAAAGAUUUGUUGUUCACUUUUUAGUUUGGAUUUCAGUGGGGGUCUUGAGACUAAUUGUUCAAAAUUAAACUACUGCCCUGUUCUACAGACCAUUUGAAUCUGCUUUCAAAUUUGGAAGUAUGACAAUUACCAUUUCUGAUAUA